GGGGGCAUAGCUCAGAGGUAGAGUAUUCGAUUGCAGAUCGACUUGUCCUGGUUCGAUUCCGGGUGCCCCCU